GUAGGAGGCGAGCGUUGUCCGGAAUCAUUGGGCGUAAAGAGCGCGCAGGCGGCUUGGCAAGUCGGGUGUGAAAUCCCGGGGCUCAACCCCGGGACUGCAUCCGAUACUGUCAGGCUAGAGGUAGGUAGGGGAGAUCGGAAUUCCUGGUGUAGCGGUGAAAUGCGCAGAUAUCAGGAGGAACACCGGUGGCGAAGGCGGAUCUCUGGGCCUUACCUGACGCUCAGGCGCGAAAGCUAGGGGAGCGAACAGGAUUAGAUACCCUGGUAGUCCUAGCCGUAAACGUUGGGUGCUAGGUGUGGGCGGAUAUCAACCCCGUCCGUGCCGAAGCUAACGCAUUAAGCACCCCGCCUGGGGAAUACGGCCGCAAGGCUA
rnacentral:rRNA from 1 species